AUACUUACCUGGCAGGGGAGAUACUGUGAUCAAGAAGGUGGUUCACCCAGGGCGAGGCUCAGCCAUUGCACUUCGGCUGUGCUGACCCAUGCAAAUUCCCCAAAUGUGUGAAUCUCGACUGGUAAUGGUAAUUUCUGGUACUUUAUUAUUGUUGUUGUU
ensembl:snRNA U1 U1 spliceosomal RNA